AGAGCGAACGCUGGCGGCAUGCUUAACACAUGCAAGUCGCACGAUCGGGGGUAACUCCGGUAGUGGCGGACGGGUGAGUAACGCGUAGGUAUCUAUCCUUGGGUGGGGGACAACCACGGGAAACUGUGGCUAAUACCGCAUAACGACUGAGGUCCAAAGGCCGAAAGGUCGCCUGAGGAGGAGCCUGCGUCCGAUUAGCUUGUUGGUGGGGUAAUGGCCUACCAAGGCUGCGAUCGGUAGCUGGUCUGAGGGGAUGAUCAGCCACAUUGGGACUGAGACACGGCCCAAACUCCUACGGGAGGCAGCAGUGGGGAAUAUUGGACAAUGGGCGAAAGCCUGAUCCAGCAAUGCCGCGUGUGUGAAGAAGGUCUUCGGAUUGUAAAGCACUUUCGACGGGGACGAUGAUGACGGUACCCGUAGAAGAAGCCCCGGCUAACGUUCGCGCCAGCAGCCGC
rnacentral:rRNA from 1 species